rnacentral:rRNA from 1 species
UACGUAGGGGGGCAAGCGUUGUCCGGAUUCAUUGGGCGUAAAGAGCGUGUAGGCGGCCAGGUAGGUCGGUUGUGAAAACUGGAGGCUCAACCUUCAGAGGUCGACCGAAACCAUCUGGCUAGAGUCCGGGAGAGGAGAGUGGAAUUCCUGGUGUAGCGGUGAAAUGCGCAGAUAUCAGGAAGAACACCCGUGGCGAAAGCGGCUCUUUGGAACGGUACUGACGCUGAGACGCGAAAGCGUGGGGAGCGAACAGG